rnacentral:rRNA from 1 species
AUUGAACGCUGGCGGCACGCCUAACACAUGCAAGUCGAGCGGCAGCGAGACUAGUAGCAAUACUAGUUGUCGGCGAGCGGCGGACGGGUGAGUAACACGUAAGAAUCUGCCCUUAAGCGGGGGAUAACCAAGGGAAACUUUGGCUAAUACCGCAUAAUCUCGAGAGAGCAAAGCUGCCCGCAAGGGUGGCACUUGAGGAGGAGCCUGCGUCCGAUUAGCUAGUUGGUGGGGUAAUGGCCUACCAAGGCGAUGAUCGGUAACUGGUCUGAGAGGACGACCAGUCACACUGGGACUGAGACACGGCCCAGACUCCUACGGGAGGCAGCAGUGGGGAAUAUUGGACAAUGGGGGCAACCCUGAUCCAGCGAUGCCGCGUGAGUGAAGAAGGCCUUCGGGUCGUAAAGCUCUUUAGGUUGGGAAGAAGGGUAUUGGCUGAAUAAUCCAGUACUUUGACGGUACCGACAGAAUAAGCACCGGCAAACUCUGUGCCAGCCGCCGCAGUAAAAC